rnacentral:miRNA from 1 species
UUGGUCUCGAUGGCCGGAAGGGGUUCCUUCCGGCCAUCAAGAUUGUAUGGUCUUGAUGACCGGAAGGGAUUCUUUCCGGUCAUUGAGACCAG